UACGUAGGUGGCGAGCGUUGUCCGGAAUACUGGGUGUAAAGCGCGUGUAGGCGGGAGGCCAAGUCUGCUGUGAAAUCGCCCGGCUCAACUGGGCGGGGUCGGUGGAAACUGGUCACCUGGAGGACGGUAGAGGCGAGUGGAAUUCCCGGUGUAGCGGUGAAAUGCGCAGAUAUCAGGAAGAACACCCGUGGCGAAAGCGGCUCUCUGGAACGGUACUGACGCUGAGACGCGAAAGCGUGGGGAGCGAACAGG
rnacentral:rRNA from 1 species